CAGCAUCAUUUAUAGCAGAUGGAGCCGUUCUUGUGUUCAAAGACAACUGGACAAAACAAAACUGCACAUGUUCAUGCAAUGAUUUGUUCUCACAAUAGAAUUCAAUGGAGCAGGAUCCUUCCAAUGAAAGACGAUGGAAGGUUUGGCGUAGGCGUUCCUUCCAAUAACCAGACAACAUCUGGUUUAGCCAAAGGAGACAUUUCUACUCACCUGGCAAAAGGUAAAAGGCGUUGUCUGAUUUGUGGCGGCAAGGGACCCUAGAGUUCCCAGAGGCCUUUGUGUUUCGUGCCAGGAUGCUUUGAUGAUGCUUUGAUGAUGCAGCAUGCUGGAAUGCUCUCGGAGCACUUUUCUAUUUUCAGUAUGUAGUUAGCAGGUUUUGCCUACAGCACCUAUAUAUGGGUUUUACCUUUUGGGUGGUUAAAUGUCAAGUGCAAGCAAAUACAGUAUUAUGUGAAAGACUAGAUGAGUUCAUGACCGCAGCCCAUUCGCACGCACCCUUUUUUCUUUCAGAAUAUUACUCGAAACGCACCUGUGACGUAUUCUUUCUUUACCUGAGGUGUUUAGUAUUGAAGUGGUAAUACUUUUUGGAAUAAUAAUCUUCAGUUCUGUGCCAUUUUUUGUGAACUGAAAGCUUAGCUUAAGGUUUAUACAUUGUGUAAACAUUUCUCUGUUUUAUAAGAAAAUUGUAUUUCAGUUUUUCUAAUUCAAAAUUUCAUGUUUAAUUCAAUGUGUUACUUGCCAUUUCUUUGUAAUUAUUUGGGAAAUUUACUAGCAAUUUCUGAGUGAAAAUUGUUUCUGCACCAAUUUUAUUGGGUGAGCUGUUUUUCACCAUCUUCAAGUGAAAUAUGUAUGUUUAUUCUGGUGUAACUUUCACUUUCUGCUUCUAGGUAUAAAAACAUGAUGCUUUCCUGGCAGUGUCAACAGAAUCUGUAAGACGGAUCUGAUCUGAAAAUCACAGUGUUCUCAUGCAUGUUAUAUCAAGUCUCCUCAGCACUAUAUCAUAUUUUUAAAAUCUGUUAGAGAUAUAAUAUCAGUAAGUAACUUGUGAAUUAGCUAGUGGGUAAUCAAAAUAAUCUCUUUAAAAGUCAUCCAUACUUAGUUUACAAGAUCUUUAAAUGGAUAUAUGUAAGAAUUAGCUAUUUCCAUAAAAACUAAUUUGUACAAUAUGAUGAUUAUUCUCUUAAAGUCUGAUAUGACAUUGCAUUCAACUCUGUAUGUGGUUCUCUUUAAUAUCUCAAAUUCUUUUAGAGAUUUGCAAAAACCGCAUGUGGACAGGCUCGUGUCAGAGUUUGCAAACAUCAUAUUAUCAGUAAUUUUCUGUAAAAAUUGUAAAAAGUCUAGAUUGUGAGACUAAAUUUAAUUUAUAGAAGCCCUCAUGGCUUGAAAUGGUCGAAACGUCCCGCCAUCUAUUGUGCCAACUUUUCAUAUUAGACAAGCACAGUAAGUGCGUACAUCUGAGCUCAUUAGACAUUUGCAAAUUGCGUUCUGUCAAAAAAGAAUUCUGAGAAUGUUUUGGGGAUCUUCCAUAAUAGCUUUCUGAAGUUGUUUUGUCGCUGAUGGAGAUGACUGGAGGCGUAAGAGGUGUGUUUGUGUGUGUCUGAAAUGUGUGUUUACCACAGAGAAAGCUGGAUUAGGAUGAAAAGACUGAAUGAAGAAUGAAGUACCUGGCUUUGUGAAAUGAAAGCUCUGUUUCAAAACUAUAUAUAUAUAUAUAUAUAUACUGUAUAUAUAAGAGAGAGAGAGAGAGAGAGAAAUUAAUACUUUUCUAGAAAGAAUGUAUUAAAUUGAUCAAAAUUGAGAGUAAAAGAUUUGACAAACUUGUUUGGAAAAAAAAAAACAUUGUUUCAAAUAAUAAUCAGAAAUGUUUCUUGAGCAUCAAAUCAUCAUAUUAGAAUGGAUAUUUCUGAAGGAUCAUGUGACACUGAAGACUGGAGUAAUGAUGCUGAAAAUUCAGCUUUGAUCACAGGAAUACAUUUUUAAAUAUAUUUACAUAGAAAACUUUAAAAUUGAAAAAUAUUUCACAAUAUUACUGAGCAGAAGAGACUCCUUUCAAAACAAUAGAGAAAAAAAAACAAAAAAAAAAACACUUGAACAGAAGUGUAGCCAGCAUCGACUCAAUAGUAAGGGCGCACACAAAUAUUGGUGUCACGAUUAGUGCGUUUUACUUUCGUUUUCAUGGACUUUUAGUUUGUUUCUCUUUGUUACCUGUUUCCUUUGUUCCAUUUUCCAACUCUUUGUUGGUUACCAUAGUUUUUGAUUCAUUAACACACCUGUUUAUAUUUGAGUUCAUUAUCCUUGUGUAUUUAAGUCCCUCAGUUCAUUCAGUUCAUUGUCCGGUAUUGUUUGUGCCAUGCACGCUGUUUCAUUGUGUUUGCACCCGUUCGGAGAUCUGUUUUGCUUUCUUUAAUAAACCAAGCUGCUGUUUUGAA